AGUAGGGUCAGCUAAACAAGCUAUCAGGCCCAUACCCCGAAAAUGCCACCAGGCCCCUACUA
rnacentral:tRNA from 1 species